GUUAAUGAAGGUGGAAGCAUUAGACCACAAGAAAAGCACCGCAAGUGCAACAAUCAGGCAGUGACAGACAAGAGUUAGAAGGUGGUACUCAAGCAAUUCAAACAGAACCCAUAUUGCAGUAGCCCCACCAAGUACUCCUGCUGAAAUCUUCUUGUUCCUCCAUAAGAAAACAUCCGCAGCUAUUGCAUACACGACAAAUUUAACACAUAGUUAGAAAUAAAAACAUCAAAAUAGCUGUCCACAUCCCCCCUAUAGCCAUCAAGGUCGAUUCACGACCACAAUAGCAUAUAAAUUGACAUUUCAGCACCAAUUUUUUGUGUUUUUUUGGGGGGGGCAUAGAAGUUUUGAAAUUAAUUGAUCACAAGUCAUUCAAACAGAUAAAUGUAAGAUAGAUUCAAUAGAAGGGAAAAAACGACACAUUGAUUAACGAGAAGUGAUGAUAACAUUGAGGAAACAACUUUGUAAAAAGAAGGUUCCAGUUUCGUAAAAAGCCAAAAGGUAAACUUUAUCAGAACCAAUCGCAUCAACACCGUAAAUCAUAAAAAAGUUAAAAUAAAAGAAAAAAUUAGCUAAUCAAGAUCAAUCUAUAAUCAAUUGAAACUGCAAAGUUGAUCUAUUAACAGAGAUAGAUCUAUCUAGAUCUUUAAUUUAAAAACAUCUAAAAAUGAAGCAAUAAAAUUCUAAAUUAAAUUAAAAAUGAUUAAAAAGAAAAAGAACAUACGUUUUCCGCCACCAAGAACCUUGUGAACAGGCUUUUCUCUUCCGAAGAGACGAAAUACUUUGGUCUUGAGGGAGGAUGUAGAUGACUUCUUAUCAUCAUCGGUGUCAGAUGACGAUGACGACGACGACGAAUCGUGGCCGUGGAUCUUCUCCGUUAUCUUCUCCAUCACCGAUUCACCGGCUGGUUCCUCGUGUUUAUGCUCGUCAGACAUCGCGCUCUCUGUACAAAUCCCUCACUCGGUGUUUUCAAACCUUUUUAACUUUGAGAAAUGAAAGAAGCUCGCCAACUCUCAACGAAGUAAUAACUAAUUAUCUCUCGCUGUCCUUGGAGGAUAAAUAGAUGUGUAUCUGAUUGAUAUAAUCUUCACCGUCGAACUGAACGAUUCGAUCAUAGCCGUUUGUAGGUUUGGUCCCGAGUCUGGAGGCUUGGAGGAAUAUGUGUCUAAACCCCAAAAUAGCCGGUGUAUUUUUAAUACAGAGGUUAACAGCCGUUAGAUUUCAAGCCUUCUCGUUGACUUUUGUAAACGUGGCAGAAGGCAAGCGUCGGUGAAUGGUGAUUUGAAUUUGUGGGCUAACUGUGCAAGAACAACAUAACUUAAGCGUAUUAUAUGUUAAUACGUGGCGUUAUUAUAGCCACUAAUGGCUACUGUUUAAAUUGAAAUACCAAAAAUGAAUUGAGAAUUUAAUUAUACUUUUGGUCUGUGUACGUGUACGUAUAUGCUUCUUAAUGGUCAAGUAAAAUCUGAUGCAAAGUUUUUAAAUACGCAGAGACUAAGUAAAGUGUUAGGAGUUAUAUAAUUUAAUAUAAAUAGAACAAUAAAGUCUUAGCGGUCGAGCAUGGACCAGUAAUUUAAUGUUUUAAAUAAUUUGGCAUGAAAUGAGACUAUAACGCCAACUUAUGAGCAGUCGUCAUAUACUUCAUGGCUAAGGUCUCUCCUGAUUUGGAAAAUGACCCGAAAGCUCAAAGCAUCUUACAUUUUUUGGAUGGGUCAUUGGGUCUACAACAAAAGCAAAAUGCUGAGUGGAAGAAAAAUAAAUGCUGAGGGAUAACAAAAGGUUUUGCCCUAAAAUAAUAUCUGAAAUAUCAUGUUGUCUAAUCUGGAUGCAAAAGCAUUAAAUAAAUAUAAAAAAAUAUACGAAGAUGAGAAAUUUUUGGGCAUGAUUUCCGUGACCCUACAUCCAGACUAUAUGCAACACAAGCACCCAUGAAAAGUGCUGCAUGUACGCAUGAGUACAACCACAAGAAGCAAGGAUUGUAGACCCAGUUGUAGGGUAAGGGGGGACAGAAAGUCCAUUUCAAGGCCCAAUGUUGCCGAAGGCUAAAGAACUUUGCUACUUUGACGUGAAAAAGGCAAAUGCUAAGUUAAUUGAGGAACCUUCUAGAUUAGAUAGAAUCAAUUAAUGUUUUAAUUGAUUAGAUCUGUUUAUUUCGCACAUUUCCACAACGGAAAAGGGGGGAAAAAAAUUAUACUGUGUAGCCUGGUUCCAGUUAAAUAAACAGAAGGCUACAUAUAUGUGGAAAAGAAAAAUCACACCUGUAAUCUUUAAGUAUGCGAAGGGGCAGACAUAGUGCAAACGGAGAGAUUGAAACCACCAACAACAGGAAAUCAAAAGAGUCUAAUUGAGGAACCUCCUUUUUGUGUCCCUACAAGAUUAAUUAUACCCCAAAACAAUGGCACCUCAUUUCAAACCUCGUAAUAGAAUCACCAUGAAGAGUUGACGCCAAUAAGUGUAUGUAUCAGUUAGUAUGGAGUUGUUUUAUCUUAAUCAAUGUCCUCGAUUCGAGAUUUGAGAAUGUAGCUACAUUAAAUACUUGUUGGGAGAGUUUUGCCGUUCUACUGAUCCUACUCAACUCGAAUCCAGAUUAAUCGGGAUCCAAUGUGAUCUUUAGAUACCAAAAUUAUUUAUAUAUAUAUAUAUAUAAGUUGAAGAGUUAGAAGUUAAGAAUAUAUGAAAAAUCGACGAAAGCUGAGUACAGGAGCUAUGGCCGGUAAGUUUCACAUUAAAUGAACUCAACCAACUUCAUAACGCUAGGUGACAAAGGUCUUGAUGAUGUUACUAGAAGAGGAGUGCAAGAGAUUAGAAGGCUUUAAAAAUAAUAAGAUUUUGACUUUAAAAUAACAGGGAAUGCCUGACCUCUCUUAUUUUUGCUAAUUACUUGUGAGGUUAAUUCUAUAAGCUAAAUAGAAAAGUAAAGCAGAAGAUGGUGUGUGGCACACAACAACUAAUAAGGCUAUAUGGUAAACUAUUUGAAUGGUUCUGAGUAGGCUUGGCAAUUUAAGGGCUUAGCCAAGCUCAGGCCAAGCCCAAACCCUUAUACUUCAUAAAGAGUUCAGGUCCUUUUAAAGCUCACCCACAGGGCCGGGCAUGGACCUUGGUGGGCCUAGACCAGACAAUAAUCGGGCUUAGGCUUAAAUAAUUUUUUAAAUAAAAUUAUAAAUUCUAAAAACAUAAUUAUCCAAUACAUAAUACUACAAUACGCUAAAAAACUGAAAAAUAAUUCUCCAUUUACAAAUUACAAAUAAAUUUACAAUUGAUUGAAAAACAAAACCCCCAAAUUUGCAAACCAACAAUCAACAACAAAACCAACAACACAACUCGAAAUCAUUAACCAAGCACAAUAUUCUUCAACAUUUUCUACAUUAAUCAACAACCAUCCUAAAUUCUUCACGAUAUUCUUCACAGCUCAAAAACAAAAAAUUCUUCACAAUACUCCUCACCAAAUUAACCAAUUACAUAUAUUUAGACAUGACAUUAUACAAUAAAAAAAAAAAAAUCAAAGCUUAAUUGAGGUGGAAUACCUAAGUUGGUGAUGGCUUGUUGGUUUAAAUCGUGUCGGCACUGGUUUGGGUCACGUUGGAACAGAUCGGUGUUGUUUGGGUCACGUUGGAACAUAUCAGUGCUGCUGCCUCGCGCCCGUUUGAGUGGUUGCUGCUGCAGCGUCGCGCGGCUGUGCUGGGGGUUGGGAGAUGGUGGGCUGCUGGACGCUUCACGCUCGCGGUUCUGGACUCUCGCGGCUCGCUGCUGUGCUGGACGAUCGCUGUUGUGCUGGACGUUGUGGGCUGCUCUUGGUUGCCGACGGCGUGAACAGUGAGAGAUGGGGGAAACCAGAAAUGAGGGAUUUAGUUUAGGGAUUGAUUUUGGUUUCGGGUUCAAUAUCGAUUUGAAUCCACUAUUCCGUUUUGUUUUUUCUUUUAAUUUUUCAGUUUUUUUUUUAAUUUGAAUUUUAUAAUAUGUAUAAAGUUUUGGAUUUAAAAUAUAUAUAUAUAUAUAUAUAUAUAUAUAUAAUUUAUUAUAAAGUCCGGGCUUAAGUGUGGGCUUUUGAGUAAAGCUCUUGACUGAGCCCAUUACAUGUGGGCUUUACAAAUUACGAGCCCUUAUCCAUGAUUUAAGCCACGAGCUGGGCUUGAAGCCCGCGGGCCUGGGCCGGAUAAGCCCGGGCUUGGGUCGGCCCAGGCCUGCCACUCAUAGCUCUGAGUAGUAUGAUAGAGAAACCCCCUUCAUUCUUAUGAUCAAUGGGCAAAGAAGACCAAAGCUUUGAAACAGGACAUUGGAUACGUAAGAAUCAACUUCUCAACAUAGUGCAUGAUAUUGCAUAUUGCUAAUUCACAUGUACCCUUUUGUGACAUUGUUGGUUCCUCUCGAUAUUCAUCUAUAUGCCUCUAGAAAGCAGAGGAAAUUGAAACUAGAGAAGCAAGGAUAUUGUAUGAGCCUGACUGACAGAGUCCUAAAUGUUGAAAAGUCAAAGCUGUAUGGUGGCUUUGCCACACACACGAUUUGGACACCUUUUGUACACGGUUUGGAUGCGUUUGGAACGUUAUUUUCUUGAUAUUUG
rnacentral:lncRNA from 1 species